GAUGAAGAACGUAGUGAAAUGCGAUACUUGGUGUGAAUUGCAGAAUCCCGUGAACCAUCGAGUCUUUGAACGCAAGUUGCGCCCGAAGCCAUUAGGCCGAGGGCACGCCUGCCUGGGCGUCACACGUCGUUGCCCCCCCAUCUACUCCUUCGGGAUUGCGGGGGGCGGAUGAUGGCCUCCCGUGCGCCUCGCCGCGCGGUUGGCAUAAAUGCCAAGUCCUCGGCGACGCACGCCACGACAAUCGGUGGUUGCGAAACAUCGGUUGCCCGUCGUGUGCGGUCGUCGCGCAUCGAGGGCUCGAAAAAAUUGCCGGGUUCCGGCUCGGCUUUCAACGCGACCCCAGGUCAGGCGGGGUUACCCGCUGAAUUUAAGCAUAUCAAUAAGCGGAGGA
rnacentral:misc_RNA from 1 species